GCCGGGCGCGGUGGCGCGCGCCUGUAGUCCCAGCUACUCGGGAGGCUGAGGCAGGAGGAUCGCUUGAGCUCAGGAGUUCUGGGCUGUAGUGCGCUAUGCCGAUCGGGUGUCCGCACUAAGUUCGGCAUCAAUAUGGUGACCUCCCGGGAGCGGGGGACCACCAGGUUGCCUAAGGAGGGGUGAACCGGCCCAGGUCGGAAACGGAGCAGGUCAAAACUCCCGUGCUGAUCAGUAGUGGGAUCGCGCCUGUGAAUAGCCACUGCACUCCAGCCUGGGCAACAUAGCGAGACCCCGUCUCUU
rnacentral:SRP_RNA from 1 species